AGGCGGUGGAUGAUGUGGAUUAAUUCGAUGCAACGCGAAAACCUUACCUACCCUUGACAUGUCCGGAAUCCCGAAGAGAUUUGGGAGUGCUCGCAAGAGGAGCCGGAACACAGGUGCUGCAUGGCUGUCGUCAGCUCGUGUCGUGAGAUGUUGGGUUAAGUCCCGCAACGAGCGCAACCCUUGUCAUUAGUUGCCAUCAUUUGGUUGGGCACUCUAAUGAGACUGCCGGUGACAAACCGGAGGAAGGUGGGGAUGACGUCAAGUCCUCAUGGCCCUUAUGGGUAGGGCUUCACACGUCAUACAAUGGUCGGUACAGAGGGUUGCCAACCCGCGAGGGGGAGCUAAUCCCACAAAGCCGAUCGUAGUCCGGAUCGCAGUCUGCAACUCGACUGCGUGAAGUCGGAAUCGCUAGUAAUCGUGGAUCAGCAUGUCACGGUGAAUACGUUCCCGGGUCUU
rnacentral:rRNA from 1 species